UACGGAGGGUGCGAGCGUUGUCCGGAAUCAUUGGGUGUAAAGGGCGCGUAGGUGGCCCGGUCAGUUCGUGGUGAAAAGCCCGGGGCUCAACCCCGGAGGGUCUCUCGAAACUGCCGAGCUAGAGUGCGGAAGGAGGCAAUCGGAAUUCCCAGUGUAGCGGUGAAAUGCGUAGAUAUUGGGAAGAACACCGGAGGCGAAGGCGGAUUGCUGGGCCGAUACUGACGCUGAGGA
rnacentral:rRNA from 1 species